UUUGAUCCUGGCUCAGAUUGAACGCUGGCGGCAUGCUUUACACAUGCAAGUCGAACGGUAACAGGGAGCUUGCUCCGCUGACGAGUGGCGAACGGGUGAGUAAUAUAUCGGAACGUACCCAAGAGUGGGGGAUAACGUAGCGAAAGUUACGCUAAUACCGCAUACGAUCCAAGGAUGAAAGCAGGGGAUCUUCGGACCUUGUGCUCCUGGAGCGGCCGAUAUCUGAUUAGCUAGUUGGUGAGGUAAUGGCUCACCAAGGCGACGAUCAGUAGCUGGUCUGAGAGGACGACCAGCCACACUGGAACUGAGACACGGUCCAGACUCCUACGGGAGGCAGCAGUGGGGAAUUUUGGACAAUGGGCGCAAGCCUGAUCCAGCAAUGCCGCGUGAGUGAAGAAGGCCUUCGGGUUGUAAAGCUCUUUUGUCAGGGAAGAAACGGGAGUGGCUAAUAUCCAUUCCUAAUGACGGUACCUGAAGAAUAAGCACCGGCUAACUACGUGCCAGCAGCCGCGGUAAUACGUAGGGUGCAAGCGUUAAUCGGAAUUACUGGGCGUAAAGCGUGCGCAGGCGGUUUUGUAAGUCUGACGUGAAWUCCCCGGGCUCAACCUGGGAAUUGCGUUGGAGACUGCAAGGCUAGAAUCUGGCAGAGGGGGGUAGAAUUCCACGUGUAGCAGUGAAAUGCGUAGAGAUGUGGAGGAACACCGAUGGCGAAGGCAGCCCCCUGGGUCAAGAUUGACGCUCAUGCACGAAAGCGUGGGGAGCAAACAGGAUUAGAUACCCUGGUAGUCCACGCCCUAAACGAUGUCUACUAGUUGUCGGGUUUUAAUUAACUUGGUAACGCAGCUAACGCGUGAAGUAGACCGCCUGGGGAGUACGGUCGCAAGAUUAAAACUCAAAG
rnacentral:rRNA from 1 species